rnacentral:lncRNA from 1 species
AUGCCGGACUGGUUGAAGAUGAUUGUAGCGCCGGUUAACCGAAAGUUCGAUGAUGCGUACCCGGAUUUGAGGAACGACGGUUAUUGAAAUUGGAGAAAAACUGUUGAAGAAUAAGUGGUGUGUUCCGCAGGAUGUGAGGAACAGAAGGUUGUCUUUCAGCGAAGAGUCAAGGUGCUGAUAACGUGAUAAAAACCAGAGAGAAUUAGGGAUAAAACUGAAUUCUACUCAUUCAUUCU